GUGAAUCAUCGAAUUUUUGAACGCAUAUUGCACUAUCUGGUAUUCUGGAGAGUAUGCCUAUUUGAGGGUCAUUUGAAAUAAUAUAAAUUACGCGAUUUUCUUGACAUCAAAAAUGGGCCGGUCCAGCUUAAGCGUGGUGGUCGCCUAAAAUGCAAGAAAAGCACAUUUCUUGGGUUGGGUGAUACUUUCAGUUAGCUGCUGACUUCACAAGAAAUCUUCGCGCGAGUUAAAC
rnacentral:misc_RNA from 1 species